GCCUUCGUGGUGUAGUGGCCAGCACGCUCGACCUGUAACCGAGAGGCCCGCCGUUCGAUUCCUGGAGAAGGCG
rnacentral:tRNA from 1 species